rnacentral:lncRNA from 1 species
UAGAACUCUAUGAUGAUAGAAUCAAGAAAAAAAGCCAUGAAAACAGUAUGGUCUUUCAGGUAUGAAUUUCAAUAUCUAAUCAUUUUAUAAAGUUACGUAGUUUUUUCAUAGUAAAAACCAUGAAGAGAAAAUGGAUAAGUUAGAAAUCAGGGGUUGAGUCUGUUUCAGUACAUGAAGGAUCAAAAACUGAUAAAUCGUGACAUAGAUACGUUAAUGUAGUGAAAAGUUAAGGAAAUAUUAUGCCAUGUGAAAAGUAGUUUCAGUUGGACCAGCCAGAGAAGAGAAGAAAGGAGAAAAAAAAAAGAAGAGGUAAAGGAAGAAGCAAAGAAAAAGGAUCCAAAAGAAGAAUUGGCUGAACUUAUGAAAGCAUAUAAUCAUAUUAUAAUCAAAUGAGACAGCCAACACUCCUUAUACUAUUAUAGAACUAUUGAAGAAUCUCCUAGUGGUUGUGUUAUUGUUGAAUAAUAUUAAAC